rnacentral:rRNA from 1 species
UUUUAUUUGAGAGUUUGAUCCUGGCUCAGGAUGAACGCUGGCGGCGUGCCUAACACAUGCAAGUUGAGCGAUUUACUUCGGUAAAGAGCGGCGGACGGGUGAGUAACGCGUGGGUAACCUACCCUGUACACACGGAUAACAUACCGAAAGGUAUGCUAAUACGGGAUAAUAUAUUUGAGAGGCAUCUCUUAAAUAUCAAAGGUGAGCCAGUACAGGAUGGACCCGCGUCUGAUUAGCUAGUUGGUAAGGUAACGGCUUACCAAGGCGACGAUCAGUAGCCGACCUGAGAGGGUGAUCGGCCACAUUGGAACUGAGACACGGUCCAAACUCCUACGGGAGGCAGCAGUGGGGAAUAUUGCACAAUGGGCGAAAGCCUGAUGCAGCAACGCCGCGUG